rnacentral:rRNA from 1 species
AGUGAACGCUGGCGGCAGGCCUAACACAUGCAAGUCGAACGGUAGCACAGAGGAGCUUGCUCCUUGGGUGACGAGUGGCGGACGGGUGAGGAAUACAUCGGAAUCUACCCUGACGUGGGGGAUAACGUAGGGAAACUUACGCUAAUACCGCAUACGAACUGAGGUUGAAAGCAGGGGACCGCAAGGCCUUGCGCGAUUGGAUGAGCCGAUGUCCGAUUAGCUAGUUGGUAAGGUAAAGGCUUACCAAGGCGACGAUCGGUAGCUGGUCUGAGAGGAUGAUCAGCCAAACUGGAACUGAGACACGGUCCAGCCUCCUACGGGAGGCAGCAGUGGGGAAUAUUGGACAAUGGGCGCAAGCCUGAUCCAGCCAUGCCGCGUGUGUGAAGAAGGCCUUCGGGUUGUAAAGCACUUUUGUUGGGAAAGAAAAGCGGUCGGUUAAUACCCGGUCGUACUGACGGUACCCAAAGAAUAAGCACCGGCUAACUUCGUGCCAGCCGCCGCAGUAAUAC